GAUGAACGCUAGCUACAGGCUUAACACAUGCAAGUCGAGGGGAAACGAUAUUGGAAGCUUGCUUCCGAUAGGCGUCGACCGGCGCACGGGUGAGUAACGCGUAUCCAACCUGCCCAUCACUUGGGGAUAACCUUGCGAAAGUAAGACUAAUACCCAAUGACGUCUCUAGAAGACAUCUGAAAGAGAUUAAAGAUUUAUCGGUGAUGGAUGGGGAUGCGUCUGAUUAGCUUGUUGGCGGGGUAACGGCCCACCAAGGCGACGAUCAGUAGGGGUUCUGAGAGGAAGGUCCCCCACAUUGGAACUGAGACACGGUCCAAACUCCUACGGGAGGCAGCAGUGAGGAAUAUUGGUCAAUGGGCGAGAGCCUGAACCAGCCAAGUAGCGUGCAGGAUGACGGCCCUAUGGGUUGUAAACUGCUUUUAUAAGGGAAUAAAGUGAGCCACGUGUGGCUUUUUGCAUGUACCUUAUGAAUAAGGACCGGCUAAUUCCGUGCCAGCAGCCGCCGUAAGAC
rnacentral:rRNA from 1 species